rnacentral:rRNA from 1 species
GACGAACGCUGGCGGCGUGCUUAACACAUGUAAGUCGAACGAAGUGGCGAACGGGUGAGUAACGCGUAAUCAACCUGCCCUUCAGAGGGGGACAACAGUUGGAAACGACUGCUAAUACCGCAUACUGAAGGCGGGGAUUGCGUCUGAUUAGCUGGGUGGUGGGGUAAAGGCCUACCAAGGCGACGAUCAGUAGCGGGUCUGAGAGGAGGAUCCGCCACACUGGGACUGAGACACGGCCCAGACUCCUACGGGAGGCAGCAGUGGGGAAUUUUGGACAAUGGGCGCAAGCCUGAUCCAGCCAUGCCGCGUGUCUGAAGAAGGCCUUCGGGUUGUAAAGGACUUUUGUCAGGGAAGUGGUACCUGAAGAAUAAGCACCGGCUAACUACGUGCCAGCAGCCGCGGUAAUUC